UAGAGUUUGAUCAUGGCUCAGGAUGAACGCUGGCGGCGUGCUUAACACAUGCAAGUCGAACGGGGUUAUCAUUUUUGAAGCGAUUAGCUUGCUAAGAGUGGAAAAGCUGAUAACUUAGUGGCGGACGGGUGAGUAACGCGUGGGUAACCUGCCUUACACAGGGGGAUAACACUUAGAAAUAGGUGCUAAUACCGCAUAAGCGCACAGUCCCGCAUGGGACAGAGUGAAAAACAUUAGUGGUGUAAGAUGGACCCGCGUCUGAUUAGCUAGUUGGCGGGAUAAGAGCCCACCAAGGCGACGAUCGGUAGCCGGCCUGAGAGGGUGACCGGCCACAUUGGGACUGAGACACGGCCCAAACUCCUACGGGAGGCAGCAGUGGGGAAUAUUGGACAAUGGGGGAAACCCUGAUCCAGCGACGCCGCGUGAGUGAAGAAGUAUUUCGGUAUGUAAAGCUCUAUCAGCAGGGAAGAAAAAAAUGACGGUACCUGACUAAGAAGCCCCGGCUAACUACGUGCCAGCAGCCGCGGUAAUACGUAGGGGGCAAGCGUUAUCCGGAUUUACUGGGUGUAAAGGGAGCGUAGACGGCAGGGCAAGUCUGAUGUGAAAGGUCGGGGCCCAACCCCGGGACUGCAUUGGAAACUGUCCGGCUGGAGUACAGGAGAGGUAAGUGGAAUUCCUAGUGUAGCGGUGAAAUGCGUAGAUAUUAGGAGGAACACCAGUGGCGAAGGCGGCUUACUGGACUGUAACUGACGUUGAGGCUCGAAAGCGUGGGGAGCAAACAGGAUUAGAUACCCUGGUAGUCCACGCCGUAAACGAUGAUUACUAGGUGUCGGUGGGCAUGGGCCCAUCGGUGCCGCAGCCAACGCAAUAAGUAAUCCACCUGGGGAGUACGUUCGCAAGA
rnacentral:rRNA from 1 species